ACACAUGCAAGUCGAACGGAAAGGCCCUGCUUUUGAGGGGUGCUCGAGUGGCGAACGGGUGGGUAACACGUGAGUAACCUGCCCUUGACUUUGGGAUAACUUCAGGAAACUGGGGCUAAUACCGGAUAGGAGCUCCUGCUGCAUGGUGGGGGUUGGAAAGUUUCGGCGGUUGGGGAUGGACUCGCGGCUUAUCAGCUUGUUGGUGGGGUAGUGGCUUACCAAGGCUUUGACGGGUAGCCGGCCUGAGAGGGUGACCGGCCACAUUGGGACUGAGAUACGGCCCAGACUCCUACGGGAGGCAGCAGUGGGGAAUAUUGCACAAUGGGCGGAAGCCUGAUGCAGCAACGCCGCGUGCGGGAUGACAGCCUUCGGGUUGUAAACCGCUUUCGCCUGUGACGAAGCGUGAGUGACGGUAAUGGGUAAAGAAGCACCGGCUAACUACGUGCCAGCAGCCGCGGUGAUACGUAGGGUGCGAGCGUUGUCCGGAUUUAUUGGGCGUAAAGGGCUCGUAGGUGGUUGAUCGCGUCGGAAGUGUAAUCUUGGGGCUUAACCCUGAGCGUGCUUUCGAUACGGGUUGACUUGAGGAAGGUAGGGGAGAAUGGAAUUCCUGGUGGAGCGGUGGAAUGCGCAGAUAUCAGGAGGAACACCAGUGGCGAAGGCGGUUCUCUGGGCCUUUCCUGACGCUGAGGAGCGAAAGCGUGGGGAGCGAACAGGCUUAGAUACCCUGGUAGUCCACGCUGUAAACGGUGGGUACUAGGUGUGGGGUCCAUUCCACGGGUUCCGUGCCGUAGCUAACGCUUUAAGUACCCCGCCUGGGGAGUACGGCCGCAAGGCUAAAACUCAAAGGAAUUGACGGGGCCCCGCACAAGCGGCGGAGCAUGCGGAUUAAUUCGAUGCAACGCGUAGAACCUUACCUGGGUUUGACAUGGAUCGGGAGUGCUCAGAGAUGGGUGUGCCUCUUUUGGGGUCGGUUCACAGGUGGUGCAUGGCUGUCGUCAGCUCGUGUCGUGAGAUGUUGGGUUAAGUCCCGCAACGAGCGCAACCCUUGUUCACUGUUGCCAGCACGUUAUGGUGGGGACUCAGUGGAGACCGCCGGGGUCAACUCGGAGGAAGGUGGGGAUGACGUCAAGUCAUCAUGCCCCUUAUGUCCAGGGCUUCACGCAUGCUACAAUGGCUGGUACAGAGAGUGGCGAGCCUGUGAGGGUGAGCGAAUCUCGGAAAGCCGGUCUCAGUUCGGAUUGGGGUCUGCAACUCGACCUCAUGAAGUCGGAGUCGCUAGUAAUCGCAGAUCAGCAACGCUGCGGUGAAUACGUUCCCGGGGCUUGUACACACCGCCCGUCAAGUCAUGAAAGUUGGUAACACCCGAAGCCGGUGGCCUAACCGUUGUGGGGGAGCCGUCGAAGGUGGGACUGGUGAUU
rnacentral:rRNA from 1 species